rnacentral:rRNA from 1 species
UACAGAGGUCUCAAGCGUUGUUCGGAUUCAUUGGGCGUAAAGGGUGCGUAGGCGGCGUCGUAAGUCAGGUGUGAAAUCUCGGGGCUUAACUCCGAAACUGCAUUUGAUACUGCGGUGCUUGAGGACUGGAGAGGAGACUGGAAUUUACGGUGUAGCAGUGAAAUGCGUAGAUAUCGUGAGGAAGACCAGUGGCGAAGGCGGAUCUCUGGACAGUUCCUGACGCUGAGGCGCGAAGGCCAGGGGAGCAAACGGG